GGAGCCCCUACCAAACCACAUUGAGAAUUAAAGAACAAAAGAGUAAAGUGCAAGCGAGCUUCCUCUACCCCAAACAACAGGCAAGCUACUUCUAGCGAUUAGAUGAGAGCAGAGGAAGACGGACACGACCCACAACCAAUCCCUCUCCUCACCAGGGUCGAAUACGGCUGUUCCCCAGCUGAUAACCUGCUACAGUAACACUGCUAGUUACAAAACGGAGUUCAGGUCUCGGUAACACCGGGAUCCUGUCACCUAUAGCUUCACUGAAACCUGUUUUAAAACACUCUCUCAGGGAACGAGGAGAAACAGGAGAGGGAUGGGACAGUCUCCUCCCGAGCUGCCACCAAAAACUGUUCUGCCAGCUGCAGGGGGGCUGCCGGCGACCUCGCAGCCGCAUCCACCCAGCUCUUAGAGGGAAGGAGAGGGAGCGGGAGGGACCCCGGCUCCGGCUACCCUGGCUGCGCUGCCCGCCUGCCCACGCGUGUGCCCCGGGGGAAGCUGCCCGGUGCGGCGGGGGCAGCGCCGGACGCUGGAGACCCGUUCUACCCGCGCUGCAGCAGCGACUGCAAUUAAAAAAAAAAAAAAAAAAAAAAGGAAGAAAAGAAAAAUAAAUAAAUAAAUUGCCCGCUAGCGGGAAUGGGAAAAUAAAAGCCCAGCCGAAACAGGCGGACCCCAAACGACAACAAACACCGGGCGCCAAGGAGAGCAAACUUUCUGACUCACUGGGAAGAGCCAGUGCCCGGGGGGCGCCGGGCAGCGGCGGGGGCGGCGCGCGGCCCCGCGGGAGCGCAGCCGGAGCAGGAGCCGGAGCCGAGCGAGGCGGGCGCCGCAGGCGGGGCUGGGGCAGCGCGUCUCGCCCUGCUCCCGCCGCCCUCCCCUCCCUCCUUCCCCGUCCCUCUGCAGCGCCAGGAGCCGCCCGGGGCGGGCUGCCGCCGCGGGACCGCCGUACCUACCGCUGCCGGUGCGGGGCCGCGGAGCAGCGGGAGCCGCCGCCGCCACCCCCCUUCGGCGGCUGCCGGGCCCGGCGGCGCUGCAGCAGGCGGAGGACGCCCCGCGGCGGCGAGGAGCGCGGGGCCGAGGUUGGUACAGAGAUGAGUUCCAGCCAAGACCUCACUUUCUUAUGUCCUGAAUAGCUCUUGGGAAGUUGCUGGCUUGACCCUGGAGACUUAACAGUCUAAUUUUUUAAUAACUGAAGGAUUAUUUUUUUUAAUUUAAAAAAGGACUCAUUUUAGCUGUCGCAUAAGCAUGCAUUAUAUCCCAAUACUUCAAUUGGAGCUGCACAGGCAUAUCUGAGAGCACAAUUAGGCCCUCUGGACCUUUUAAAGCUUCAAAAAUAGUCAUGUGUAAUUCCUUCUUCUGUGGAUCCUGCAAGCUUUAAGAGAUUUUUUGAAAGCUGUAAAUUCCUAUUUAUCCACUAAGAGGCUCACGGGCAAUCUUCCCCUAAUGGAAAUAGAACUGUAAAGCUGAAACAUUAAUAUACACAAUAGGAUACAUUAGGCAGGGAGACUCGUCGGAGCCAACAAGAGGGCACAGCGGCCAUGCCGCGACGGAGCCGGAGCCAAACAGGUUCACUCCACUUUCUUGGCUUCCUGCAUGCAGGGUUCACUAUCUGAUUUAUAUCGUUAGUACUGCACAGUUCCCUCUUUAAAAAUAAAUAAAUAAAAAAAACAACAGACCCAUCUGACCUUUGAAUCCCUCAUCUGCAUUGGCUGGCAGCUGGCGCUGGCGAAUCGGAGGGCACAGUUUGGUCUAAAAGCAAGACAGCUAUUCCCCAAUAACUGCGCUGUUAAUAUGCAAAUCUCAGCCCUCUGCCAACUGUAAUCUCCCGCCUCUGAUUGGCUUCAGUGAUGACAAAGAUCCAGGUUAUUCAUUAGCAGGGAAAAUAUGCUCUCCAGGUUCCCCCUUAAGAUGAAGCAUUAUAAAGCCUCAAGAACAUGCAGGCUAGUGACAAACAACAACAAAACAAGACAAAGAGAAGCCAACAAAAUGGGAUUAAAAACACAGUAAAAGAGAAAACUGCAUUUAAAAAUUUUCCUGAUUCCUUUUCUUCUUCCUUGCUUUCCCUCGGGAGUUUUGCCAGUGACUGCAGAUGGGCCAUUUUUGUUUUGGUUUUUUUUUUCCAACCCUUGUUUUCUACAUAUGAUGUUGUACUCAAGUUCACAGCAGAAGGCUUGAAUUUGUUCUGAGAACGUAAUUUCUGUGCUGGAAGGCGUGCACGUGUCUGUCUCCGUGAGUCAGCUUUCUUGGCUGGCAAACAGAAUACUAGGAGGCAAUGUAUCAACAUGUAUUGAUAAAUAUCUUGAUACCAAAAAUGGAAUGGAGCAAUUGAGCAAGAAGCAGUCCAUGGUUCAACACUUCAAAAGCCAUUGCAAAAAUCAGCCACCAAUAUCCGCACCAAUAUUGGUUUAUUCUUCACAGAAGGCCAGACUUAGCUAACCUCUGAACUUAGCAGAAUGUUCUGCAAGACAUGAGCUGAUGGGAAUGCUUGUGCCAACUAAACUGUCGAGACAAACAGAUCAUUUUCCAUCAGCAUCCAAUACAGCAUACAAGAGUAAGAUGUGUUCUGCAUUACAUGGAAUAAAAACUAAAUAAUUCUACCGACUCUAAUAGUGUUAAAUUCUGAGGAACCUUUGCAGAACUGGGUUGGGCUUGGGUGUCUCCAAAGCAGGUGUGCAGCCACUCUGCUCCUCCAUCUUUGGCUUUAUUUUGUAAAUUUUUCUUUGUUCUUGCAAUUCACCUUUCCUGAAACACAACAAGGUGCACUCUAUUCACUCCAGUACAGAUGCAGCCAGCUCUCCUGCUUCCUGCUUUGAGGUUGGAGAUGAGAUCAAGUUGGUAACUUCAUAGAUCAAUGUAUCUGGGCUGAAAUUGUGUUCCCAAUAAAAUCAGUAUUAAUUUUAUCAUCUGUUUUGUCACAACUGUGAUUUUGCUUCUCAAGGCUGGCAGCAGAGUGUUUUUGGAGGACUGAGCAUUGAUUUUAAUUUCUCAGUAAGAUCAAGAAGGCCAGGUGCUAUUAGUGUUCAGUGAGUGACUCUUUUCUUUCCUCAGGCUUUUCACCAAGGGGAAGCUAGAUAAUUUUUCUGUGGGUGGACAAUCCCUCUGACUAAAAAGAAGCCGAGUUCUGAGAAGUACUGUAAUCUUGCCUGUUUCUCACAAAGCAGGUAAAAUGGCUCCUCACACAAAUUACCAGACAAAAAGUGAAGCACACACACCUGUGGGGAACCUGCAGUGAGAGUGUGAUAGGGUUACCUGACUGCAAGUCCUUGAAUACCUGGGAAGGAUGGAGGGCUGAGCUCAGAGAGGGCUUCACACAGGGCUUUUGAUUAACUUGCCACAGAGAGAGAUGGCUGUGAAAAAUAGAGAACUAUGCCACAAAGCCACUUUCCUUUUCUGUGUCACGCAUCUCAGAUACAAAGAUAAUGGGAACAGCACAGAGAAAUGCAGGCAGAUAUCUGAAA
rnacentral:lncRNA from 1 species